UACCUGCAGCUCGAGUGGUAACCGCUAUUAUUGGGCCUAAAGCGUCCGUAGCCGGUUUGGUAAAUAUCUGGGUAAAUCGUGAGGCUUAACUUCACGAAUUCCGGAUAGACUGCCAGACUUGGGAUCGGGGGAGGUCAGAGGUACUCCAGGGGUAGCGGUGAAAUGUUGUAAUCCUUGGAGGACCACCGGUAGCGAAGGCGUCUGACUAGAACGAGUCCGACGGUGAGGGACGAAGCCCUGGGGCGCAAACCGGAUUAGAUACCCGGGUAGUCCAGGGUGUAAACGAUGUGGGCUUUGUAUUGGAGGUCCCACGUGGGCGUCCAGUGCAGAAGAGAAGUUGUUAAGCCCACCGCCUGGGAAGUACGGUCGCAAGGCUGAAACUUAAAGGAAUUGGCGGGGGAGCACAGCAACGGGAGGAGCGUGCGGUUU
rnacentral:rRNA from 1 species